AACCUGCGGCGUGCUUACCAUGCAGUCGAACGAUGAAGCCAGCUUGCUGGGUGGAUAGUGGCGAACGGGUGAGUAACACGUGAGUAACCUGCCCUUAACUCUGGGAUAAGCCUGGGAAACUGGGUCUAAUACCGGAUAGGAGCGUCCACCGCAUGGUGGGUGUUGGAAAGAUUUAUCGGUUUUGGAUGGACUCGCGGCCUAUCAGCUUGUUGGUGAGGUAAUGGCUCACCAAGGCGACGACGGGUAGCCGGCCUGAGAGGGUGACCGGCCACACUGGGACUGAGACACGGCCCAGACUCCUACGGGAGGCAGCAGUGGGGAAUAUUGCACAAUGGGCGCAAGCCUGAUGCAGCGACGCCGCGUGAGGGAUGACGGCCUUCGGGUUGUAA
rnacentral:rRNA from 1 species